AACCUGCCCAAGAGAUCGGGAUAACACCUGGAAACAGAUGCUAAUACCGGAUAACAACAGAUGAUGCCUAUCAACUGUUUAAAAGAUGGUUCUGCUAUCACUCUUGGAUGGACCUGCGGUGCAUUAGCUAGUUGGUAGGGUAACGGCCUACCAAGGCGAUGAUGCAUAGCCGAGUUGAGAGACUGAUCGGCCACAUUGGGACUGAGACACGGCCCAAACUCCUACGGGAGGCACAGGC
rnacentral:rRNA from 1 species